AAGUGCUCAUUUUUUUAUAAUUGAACAAAAGCGAGUCUGAAUGGGUAUACUGAGUCGUGGAGCAUUCCGAGUAUUUGCUUUAGGGAUCGUUCCUGCGCAUCUCCUUACUUUAUAGCAGUUAUUGCUCCGGUUCCAGAAGGUAUAGCUCUCGCCUCAGCUUUUUCUUCGAAAUCGGAGACUGUUCCAAUUUCCUACUGAGAUAGGCAAGCGGAGGGAGAACUAGACGUAUCUUGCUAGGCAAAGACAGGUUAG
rnacentral:lncRNA from 1 species